GAAAUGCGAUAAGUAAUGUGAAUUGCAGAAUUCAGUGAAUCAUCGAAUCUUUGAACGCACAUUGCGCCCGCCAGUACUCUGGCGGGCAUGCCUGUCCGAGCGUCAUUUCAACCCUCGAGCCCGUCUCGGUGUUGGGGGCCCCACGGCCGCGAGGCCGCCCCCGAAAUGCAUUGGCGACCCCGCCGCGGCCUCCCCUGCGCAGUAGCUCCCAGAGAACCUCGCACCGGAAACGCGGAGGCGGUCACGCCGUAAAACAACUCUCCUCCUGGAAGUUGACCUCGGAUCAGGUAGGGAUACCCGCUGAACUUAA
rnacentral:misc_RNA from 1 species